GAUUGAACGCUGGCGGAAUGCUUUACACAUGCAAGUCGAACGGCAGCACGGGAGCUUGCUCCUGGUGGCGAGUGGCGAACGGGUGAGUAAUAUAUCGGAACGUAUCCAAUAAUGGGGGAUAACUAGUCGAAAGAUUAGCUAAUACCGCAUACGCCCUGAGGGGGAAAGCUGGGGAUCUUCGGACCUAGCGUUAAUGGAGCGGCCGAUAUCUGAUUAGCUAGUAGGUGAGGUAAAGGCUCACCUAGGCUUCGAUCAGUAGCUGGUCUGAGAGGACGACCAGCCACACUGGAACUGAGACACGGUCCAGACUCCUACGGGAGGCAGCAGUGGGGAAUUUUGGACAAUGGGCGCAAGCCUGAUCCAGCCAUUCCGCGUGAGUGAAGAAGGCCUUCGGGUUGUAAAGCUCUUUCGCAAGGGAAGAAAACUUAACCUCUAACAUAGGUUGAGGCUGACGGUAC
rnacentral:rRNA from 1 species